rnacentral:tRNA from 1 species
GGAGGUACAGCUUGGGGGCAGAGCACGUGCUUCACAUGGACAAGGUCCUGGGUUCGAUCCCCAGCACCUCCA